CGCCUAACACAUGCAAGUCGAGCGAUUAAACUCCUUCGGGAGAUAUAAAGCGGCGGACGGGUGAGUAAGGCAUAGAUAAUCUGGUCCAGAAUGGGGAAUAACCGGUCGAAAGGCUGGCUAAUACCGCAUACUCUAGCUGAGUGAAUGUCAGUUAGGAAAGGCUUUGGCCGUUUUGGAAUGAGUCUAUGUAGGAUUAGGUAGUUGGUGGGGUAAAAGCCUACCAAGCCUACGAUCCUUAACUGGUCUGAGAGGAUGAUCAGUCACACUGGAACUGAGACACGGUCCAGACUCCUACGGGAGGCAGCAGUGAGGAAUUUUGCGCAAUGGGGGAAGCCCUGACGCAACGACGCCGCGUGGAGGUUAAGUAUCUCGGUAUGUAAACUCC
rnacentral:rRNA from 1 species